rnacentral:rRNA from 1 species
UGAGUGUAAGUGCACAAGGGAGCUUGACUGUGAGACCGACGGGUCGAGCAGGGACGAAAGUCGGGACUAGUGAUCCGGCGGUGGCUUGUGGAAGCGCCGUCGCUCAACGGAUAAAAGGUACCCCGGGGAUAACAGGCUGAUCUUCCCCAAGAGUCCAUAUCGACGGGAUGGUUUGGCACCUCGAUGUCGGCUCGUCGCAUCCUGGGGCUGGAGUCGGUCCCAAGGGUUGGGCUGUUCGCCCAUUAAAGCGGUACGCGAGCUGGGUUUAGAACGUCGUGAGACAGUUCGGUCCCUAUCCGCUGUGCGCGUAGGAGUCUUGAGAAGGGCUGUCCCUAGUACGAGAGGACCGGGACGGACGAACCUCUGGUGUGCCAGUUGUUCUGCCAAGGGCAUGGCUGGUUGGCUACGUUCGGGAGGGAUAACCGCUGAAAGCAUCUAAGCGGGAAGCCUGCUUCGAGAUGAGGACUCCCACCCCCUUGAGGGGUUAAGGCUCCCAGUAGACGACUGGGUUGAUAGGCCGGAUCUGGAAGCACCGUGAGGUGUGGAGGUGACCGGUACUAAUAGGCCGAGGGCUUGUCCUCAGUUG